AACGAACGCUGGCGGCAGGCCUAACACAUGCAAGUCGAACGCCGUAGCAAUACGGAGUGGCAGACGGGUGAGUAACACGUGGGAACGUACCCUUCGGUUCGGAAUAACUCAGGGAAACUUGAGCUAAUACCGGAUACGUCCGAGAGGAGAAAGAUUUAUCGCCGAGGGAUCGGCCCGCGUCUGAUUAGCUUGUUGGUGAGGUAACGGCUCACCAAGGCGACGAUCAGUAGCUGGUCGAGAGGAUGAUCAGCCACAUUGGGACUGAGACACGGCCCAAACUCCUACGGGAGGCAGCAGUGGGGAAUAUUGGACAAUGGGCGCAAGCCUGAUCCAGCCAUGCCGCGUGAGUGAUGAAGGCCCUAGGGUUGUAAAGCUCUUUUACCCGGGAAGAUAAUGACUGUACCGGGAGAAUAACGCCCCGGCUAACUUCGUGCCA
rnacentral:rRNA from 1 species